GACGAACGCUGGCGGCGUGCUUAACACAUGCAAGUCGAACGGUGAAGCGCCUUCCUUUUUGGUUGGUGUGGAUGAGUGGCGAACGGGUGAGUAACACGUGAGUAACCUGCCCCCUUCUUCUGGAUAACCGCAUGAAAGUGUAGGUAAGACGGGACAUUCUGGUUCUGUUGCAUGAUGGGUCUGGGAAAGAUAUUGUUUCGGUGGUGGAUGGGCUCGCGUCCUAUCAGCUAGUAGGUGGGGUGAUGGCUUACCUAGGCGGUGACGGAUAGCAGGCCUGCGAGGGUGGUCGGCCGGUCUGAGUGGGAGUGAGGCACCAGACAGCCUCGGACGGCAGCAGGCGGGAGGGAAUAGUGAUCGACGAGAGUAAGACCGAUGCAGGGAGGCCGCGUGAAGGAUGGUGGCGUUCCGUAUAUGAACGUCGUUCGCCAGGAACGCAGGCCUGCGUGGAUUGUUGAUACGUUGACGGUAGCUGAAUAAGAAGCGCCGGCUAACUACGUG
rnacentral:rRNA from 1 species